UGCGUCUGGAAAGAUUUAUCGGUCAGGGAUGGACUCGCGGCCUAUCAGCUUGUUGGUGGGGUAACGGCCCACCAAGGCGACGACGGGUAGCCGGCCUGAGAGGGCGACCGGCCACACUGGGACUGAGACACGGCCCAGACUCCUACGGGAGGCAGCAGUGGGGAAUAUUGCACAAUGGGCGCAAGCCUGAUGCAGCGACGCCGCGUGAGGGAUGAAGGCCUUCGGGUUGUAAACCUCUUUCAGCAGGGAAGAAGCGCAAGUGACGGUACCUGCAGAAGAAGCGCCGGCUAACUACGUGCCAGCAGCCGCGGUAAUACGUAGGGCGCAAGCGUUGUCCGGAAUUAUUGGGCGUAAAGAGCUCGUAGGCGGUUUGUCGCGUCUGCUGUGAAAACUCGAGGCUCAACCUCGGGCUUGCAGUGGGUACGGGCAGACUAGAGUGCGGUAGGGGAGACUGGAAUUCCUGGUGUAGCGGUGGAAUGCGCAGAUAUCAGGAGGAACACCGAUGGCGAAGGCAGGUCUCUGGGCCGCAACUGACGCUGAGGAGCGAAAGCAUGGGGAGCGAACAGGAUUAGAUACCCUGGUAGUCCAUGCCGUAAACGUUGGGCACUAGGUGUGGGGCUCAUUCCACGAGUUCCGUGCCGCAGCAAACGCAUUAAGUGCCCCGCCUGGGGAGUACGGCCGCAAGGCUAAAACUCAAAGAAAUUGACGGGGGCCCGCACAAGCGGCGGAGCAUGCGGAUUAAUUCGAUGCAACGCGAAGAACCUUACCAAGGCUUGACAUACACCGGAAACUUCCAGAGAUGGUUGCCCCGCAAGGUCGGUGUACAGGUGGUGCAUGGUUGUCGUCAGCUCGUGUCGUGAGAUGUUGGGUUAAGUCCCGCAACGAGCGCAACCCUCGUCCUAUGUUGCCAGCGGGUUAUGCCGGGGACUCAUAGGAGACUGCCGGGGUCAACUCGGAGGAAGGUGGGGAUGACGUCA
rnacentral:rRNA from 1 species